rnacentral:rRNA from 1 species
CCUACGGGUGGCUGCAGUGGGGAAUAUUGCACAAUGGGCGCAAGCCUGAUGCAGCCAUGCCGCGUGUGUGAAGAAGGCCUUCGGGUUGUAAAGCACUUUCAGCGGGGAGGAAGGCGUUAAGGUUAAUAACCUUGUCGAUUGACGUACCCGCAGAAGAAGCACCGGCUAACUCCGUGCCAGCAGCCGCGGUAAUACGGAGGGUGCAAGCGUUAAUCGGAAUUACUGGGCGUAAAGCGCACGCAGGCGGUCUGUCAAGUCGGAUGUGAAAUCCCCGGGCUCAACCUGGGAACUGCAUUCGAAACUGGCAGGCUAGAGUCUUGUAGAGGGGGGUAGAAUUCCAGGUGUAGCGGUGAAAUGCGUAGAGAUCUGGAGGAAUACCGGUGGCGAAGGCGGCCCCCUGGACAAAGACUGACGCUCAGGUGCGAAAGCGUGGGGAGCAAACAGGAGUAGAUACCCGAGUAGUC